rnacentral:rRNA from 1 species
GAUGAACGCUGGCGGCGUGCCUAAUACAUGCAAGUCGAGCGAACAGACGAGGAGCUUGCUCCUCUAACGUUAGCGGCGGACGGGUGAGUAACACGUGGAUAACCUACCUAUAAGACUGGGAUAACUUCGGGAAACCGGAGCUAAUACCGGAUAAUAUAUUGAACCGCAUGGUUCAAUAGUGAAAGACGGUUUUGCUGUCACUUAUAGAUGGAUCCGCGCCGCAUUAGCUAGUUGGUAAGGUAACAGCUUACCAAGGCAACGAUGCGUAGCCGACCUGAGAGGGUGAUCGGCCACACUGGAACUGAGACACGGUCCAGACUCCUACGGGAGGCCGCAGUAGGGAAUCUUCCGCAAUGGGCGAAAGCCUGACGGAGCAACGCCGCGUGAGUGAUGAAGGUCUUCGGAUCGUAAAACUCUGUUAUUAGGGAAGAACAAAUGUGUAAGUAACUAUGCACGUCUUGACGGUACCUAAUCAGAAAGCCACGGCUAACUACGUG